GCAGUUAUGCACACCUAGCAGGAAGACAGUCAAACAUAUUCCACAUGUCUACAAGUUACAUGCUGAGUUUUCAGUGGCUGCCCUUGGAUUUCACACAAGCCCAGGUUCUCUAUUUUUAUGCCACAGCUGCUGUAACUGCUCAGUAAUGCUUCAGCCAUGAGCUUCUACAAGGUCUCCUCUACGUGAGCAAACACUCUUGGAAACUAUUUCUGGUUACCUUUCACUUUUAAUGGAAAGACUGAGUGUGCUUCAACAAAUGUGAAGUAUUUGUGGAAACAAAUGUGACUUCUACCUUCUAAGGUGACUUCCACCUUCUAAGGACAGCAUUGGCAUCCCUCCUGCCAGAGACAGAAUUUGCUCUACAUGAUCAAAAAUGCAGAUAUUACUCAUUUCAAAACAGGCAAAAGGAAAAUAAAGUUACAGAUACAACACUAUGAAUAUGAUUCCUGAGCCUUGUCUGCAAUAGUCAUGUAGCUUCCAGAUAGGAAAUGAACACCAGGACCCUUUCAGGAUCCGUAUAGUAGAUGUUGAAACAAUAUAAUUUCUACUGUUUAUAAA